rnacentral:rRNA from 1 species
ACUCCUACGGGAGGCAGCAGUGGGGGAUAUUGCACAAUGGGGGAAACCCUGAUGCAGCGACGCCGCGUGGAGGAAGAAGUAUUUCGGUACGUAAACUCCUAUCAGCAGGGAAGAAAAUGACGGUACCUGACUAAGAAGCCCCGGCUAACUACGUGCCAGCAGCCGCGGUAAU